GAUGAACGCUGGCGGCGUGCCUAAUACAUGCAAGUCGAGCGAACAGAUGAGGAGCUUGCUCCUCUGACGUUAGCGGCGGACGGGUGAGUAACACGUGGAUAACCUACCUAUAAGACUGGGAUAACUUCGGGAAACCGGAGCUAAUACCGGAUAAUAUAUUGAACCGCAUGGUUCAAUAGUGAAAGACGGUUUUGCUGUCACUUAUAGAUGGAUCCGCGCCGCAUUAGCUAGUUGGUAAGGUAACGGCUUACCAAGGCAACGAUGCGUAGCCGACCUGAGAGGGUGAUCGGCCACACUGGAACUGAGACACGGUCCAGACUCCUACGGGAGGCAGCAGUAGGGAAUCUUCCGCAAUGGGCGAAAGCCUUACGGAGCAACGCCGCGUGAGUGAUGAAGGUCUUCGGAUCGUAAAACUCUGUUAUUAGGGAAGAACAAAUGUGUAAGUAACUAUGCACGUCUUGACGGUACCUAAUCAGAAAGCCACGGCUAACUACGUG
rnacentral:rRNA from 1 species